rnacentral:rRNA from 1 species
UACUGCUCAGUAACACGUAGUCAAUCUGCCCUCGGGACGAGAACAACCUUGGGAAACUGGGGGUAAUUCUCGAUGGGCGCAGUGGCCUGGAAUGGUACUGCACCUAAAGGACUUUUGGAACAUGCUCCUUAAGUCGCCCUAGGAUGAGACUGCGGCCGAUCAGGUUGUUGGUGGGGUAACGGCCUACCAAGCCUAUAACCGGUACGGGCCCUGAGAGGGGUAGCCCGGAGAUGGGAACUGAGACAAGGUCCCAGGUCCUACGGGGCGCAGCAGGCGCGAAAACUCCACAAUGUGCGAAAGCAUGAUGGGGUUAACCCGAGUGCCAUCCGAUGAGGACGGCUUUUCUUCAGUUUAAGGAUCUGGAGGAAUAAAGGGGGGGCAAGACUGGUGUCAGCCGCCGCGGUAAUACCAGCCCCCUGAGUGGUAGGGACGAUUAUUUGGCCUAAAGCGUCCGUAGCCUGUUUGGUAAGUCUUUCGUUAAAUCCGACGAUUCAAUCGUUGGGCCGCGGAAGAUACUGCCAGACUUGAGGACGGGAGAGGUCGACGGUAGUCCCAGGGUAGGGGUGAAAUCCUAUAAUCCUGGGAGGACCACCAGUGGCGAAGGCGGUCGACUAGAACGUGCCUGACGGUGAUGGACGAAAGCUGGGGGAGCGAACCGGAUUAGACACCCGGGUAGUCCCAGCUGUAAACGAUGCGAGCUAGGUGUUGGGGCAACUACGAGUUGCUCCAGUGCCGCAGAGAAGUUGUUAAGCUCGCCGCCUGGGAAGUACGGCCGCAAGGCUGAAACUUAAAGGAAUUGGCGGGGGAGCACAAUCA